rnacentral:rRNA from 1 species
GAACGAAACACUUAUCUUUGAUUCUUCGGAUGAAGAGAUUUGUGACUGAGUGGCGGACGGGUGAGUAACGCGUGGGUAACCUGCCUCAUACAGGGGGAUAACAGUUAGAAAUGACUGCUAAUACCGCAUAAGACCACGGAGCCGCAUGGCUCAGUGGGAAAAACUCCGGUGGUAUGAGAUGGACCCGCGUCUGAUUAGGUAGUUGGUGGGGUAACGGCCUACCAAGCCAACGAUCAGUAGCCGACCUGAGAGGGUGACCGGCCACAUUGGGACUGAGACACGGCCCAAACUCCUACGGGAGGCAGCAGUGGGGAAUAUUGCACAAUGGGGGAAACCCUGAUGCAGCGACGCCGCGUGAGCGAAGAAGUAUUUCGGUAUGUAAAGCUCUAUCAGCAGGGAAGAAAAUGACGGUACCUGACUAAGAAGCACCGGCUAAAUACGUGCCAGCAGCCGCGGUAAUACGUAUGGUGCAAGCGUUAUCCGGAUUUACUGGGUGUAAAGGGAGCGUAGACGGCUGUGUAAGUCUUAAGUGAAAGCCCGGGGCUCAACCCCGGGACUGCUUUGGAAACUAUGCAGCUAGAGUGUCGGAGAGGUAAGUGGAAUUCCCAGUGUAGCGGUGAAAUGCGUGGAUAUUGGGAGGAACACCAGUGGCGAAGGCGGCUUACUGGACGAUGACUGACGUUG